UUUACUACUGUGUGUAUGAUUAACUCGUCAGUGCAUCAUCAUAUUCCAAUAUGCCUCUCUCUGUGUAUUUGUAUAUGUUCUGAUUCAACUCCAUUGAUUUACAGAAGGAAAGGGAAGACUAUUGAAAGAAAAUCAGCGCGCAUCUUCAAAUGGAGGUCACAAACACCUCAAAAGAAAGCAUUGAGACUAUUGACGAUCAGAAGGGGAAGUAGCAGGGCUGGAAUAAAGCUGUUGAGGGAUUGCAAGGUACCGGUGGACUUCAUCUCUGACAAACAGUUGUAGGAGCUAGCAAGGCUAUAUCACUAGCAAUAUAAAUGUUUUUAUGCUUUUUGAGUGCCCAUGUUCUUGACACGCAAGUGAAGUUCAGCCAUAUUACUUGGUAAUAUUUGGAAGAAAGAAACUUCUCUUAAAAACAUUGCUGGUACAUUAGUCUGUCACAUGAUAAGACUUUAGACAUACAAAAGUCUAAAAGACUACUAGACCAAAGAAAUUUGAAUCCUGUCUUUUAAGGAAGACAGUCAGCUCAGGUUUCCAUCUCUUCUCUUCUGUUCUCAUUCCCUAUAUACAUGUAACUUGAGUGCUCUCAUCUCUACGAAACUAGCUUGCUGGUCCAGUUGUCUCCAUUUUCUUUUGCAAAGCACCACACCAUGUUCUUUCAUUUUCAUGGAUUCUGAAAACCAAGAAGAAGUCGUUUACGAGUUCCUUCCACUCCUUCGAAUAUACAAAAACGGCAGUGUAGAACGUCUCCUUGCAUCAGAAAAUCGGAUGGGAAGAAGAUAGAGUCGGUUUUCAUCUACAUUUCCCUGAAACCAAGAAUGCCCAGCUUGUUAUCGAACGCUUGGUUUCAUUUCUCCGAUGUUGAGCAAAAAAAUAUUAGUAUACAUUCAUGUCUCAUCUUUGUGCAUCCAAAUUGCAUCUUUGAUAAGUUUUGCAGAAGGUUGUCAGAUUUUGUGUGGUCACAUUGUAACUAAAACAAUUAGCAAAGCAGCUCUAUAUUCAGCUCCAUUUUCAAAUCCUAAACAUCUAAUCAGCGAUUACAUCUUUAAUGGUUUCUCCACUCUUGGCAGCUCAUUUCCGUUUAAUCUAAACAAAAACUCCACUCACAACCAAAUUUACUUAAAAUCUUGUCGUCGUUGCUAUCUUCAUUUAUCUCGCAGCCAAAAAAAGAAAAAUUAUAUAAAACCGAGAGAAAAAAAAGAACAAGAAGAAAAAAAGGAAGAAGAAUGAGUUCUGGAGUAAUAUCUGACUGAAUAGGGGCAGCUUCUGUCCACAGCUAAAACCGACUGAAUAGGGGCAGCUUCUGUCUACAGCUAAAACCAACCACUCUCAACAACAAGUAGAAACCCAUUAUCCAAAACCAAAUCUAUUGCUUGAAAACCAUGGUUCCAAGACAAAUUAUCAACUAUUGGGUAUUCCAGAAGGUGUAAGUUUUGUUGAAAUUAAACAAGCUUAUAAACAAUUGGCAAGAAAGUAUCAUCCAGAUGUAUCACCACCAGAUCGUUGGGGAUUGGAUGACAGAAGUGACUGGAAAAACCGUUGGCAAUCUCAGUUAACAGGACUAAAGAGGAAAAGCAUGAACCAGGCUUCAGGAGAAAAAAUGUCAUGGGCUGCUCGAAUGCGCAAGCUAAGAAAUCAACCAUCCGGAGAAUGAUAAGUACUUAAUUUUGCUCAUGUGUUUGUGUAUAUUUUUCCGCUUUAGUUGGAUUAGAAGAAAUUGAAUUUAGAUUACAAAAACAGAUCUCUUUUUCAUUCUUCCCAACCCAUAUGUAAUUAGAUUAGAAUCAAAAAAAUUGUACAUAAUUAGAGUAAAUGUCGAGCCAAGUUUUCAUUUCCUGAAUCUGAUCUGAACUGAGUGUCUUCUAUUGCUCUUGAACGCAUUGAUGUUGAAAUAAAGCUGAUAGAUAUGAUCUGUAA